GGUUUGGUAGUUCAGUUGGUGGAAUGUCUGCUUAACAUGCAGAAGGUCGUCGGUUCAAGUCCGGCCUAGAUAA
rnacentral:tRNA from 1 species